rnacentral:rRNA from 1 species
CCUAGGCGGCUGCAGUGAGGAAUAUUGGUCAAUAGGCGCGAGCCUGAACCAGCCAAGUAGCGUGAAGGAUGACUGCCCUACGGGUUGUAAACUUCUUUUAUAAAGGAAUAAAGUGAGUCACGUUUGCCUUUUUGCAUGUACUUUUUGAAUAAGGAUCGGCUAACUCCGUGCCAGGAGCCGCGGUAAGACGGAGGAUCCGAGCGUUAUCCGGAAUUAUUGGGUUUAAAGGGAGCGUAGAUGGGUUGUUAAGUCAGUUGUGAAAGUUUGCGGCUCAACCGUAAAAUUGCAAUUGAUACUGGCAGUCUUGAGUACAGUUGAGGUAGGCAGAAUUCGUGGUGUAGCGGUGAAAUGCUUAGAUAUCACGAAGAACUCCGAUUGCGAAGGCAGCUUACUAAACUGCCACUGACAUUGAUGCUCGAAAGUGUGGGUAUCAAACAGGAUUAGAUACCCGAGUAGUC